rnacentral:tRNA from 1 species
GGGGUUGUAGCUUAGCGGUAGAGCGCUCACUUGGCACAUGUGAGGCCCUGGGUUUGAUCCUCAGCACCA